AGGAGUCGUAUGAUGAUUGUAAUGCAUAGUUCAAAUGAUUGAUUUGUGAUUAUAAAACUACUCAGUCUUUCGCUCCUAUCUGAUGACUCGU